AUUGAACGCUGGCGGAAUGCUUUACACAUGCAAGUCGAGCGGCAGCGCGGGGCAACCUGGCGGCGAGCGGCGAACGGGUGAGUAACAUAUCGGAACGUAUCCAUAAGUGGGGGACAACCUAGCGAAAGUUAGGCUAAUACCGCAUACGCUCGAGAGAGGAAAGUGGGGGAUCGCAAGACCUCACGCUUUAGGAGCGGCCGAUAUCAGAUUAGCUAGAUGGUGAGGUAAAGGCUUACCAUGGCGACGAUCUGUAGCUGGUCUGAGAGGAUGAUCAGCCACACUGGGACUGAGACACGGCCCAGACUCCUACGGGAGGCAGCAGUGGGGAAUUUUGGACAAUGGGGGCAACCCUGAUCCAGCCAUUCCGCGUGAGUGAAGAAGGCCUUCGGGUUGUAAAGCUCUUUUGUUCGGGACGAAACGGUUAAGGCUAAUAACUUUGACUACUGACGGUACCGGAAGAAUAAGCACCGGCUAACUACGUGCCAGCAGCCGCGGUAAUACGUAGGGUGCGAGCGUUAAUCGGAAUUACUGGGCGUAAAGCGUGCGCAGGCGGUUUUAUAAGCCAGAUGUGAAAGCCCCGGGCUCAACCUGGGAAUGGCAUUUGGGACUGUAAGGCUGGAGUAUGGC
rnacentral:rRNA from 1 species